rnacentral:rRNA from 1 species
UUGGAGAAGUUUGAUCCUGGCUCAGGACGAACGCUGGCGGCGUGCCUAAUACAUGCAAGUCGAGCGGACAGAAGGGAGCUUGCUCCCGGAUGUUAGCGGCGGACGGGUGAGUAACACGUGGGUAACCUGCCUGUAAGACUGGGAUAACUCCGGGAAACCGGAGCUAAUACCGGAUAGUUCCUUGAACCGCAUGGUUCAAGGAUGAAAGACGGUUUCGGCUGUCACUUACAGAUGGACCCGCGGCGCAUUAGCUAGUUGGUGGGGUAAUGGCUCACCAAGGCGACGAUGCGUAGCCGACCUGAGAGGGUGAUCGGCCACACUGGGACUGAGACACGGCCCAGACUCCUACGGGAGGCAGCAGUAGGGAAUCUUCCGCAAUGGACGAAAGUCUGACGGAGCAACGCCGCGUGAGUGAUGAAGGUUUUCGGAUCGUAAAGCUCUGUUGUUAGGGAAGAACAAGUGCGAGAGUAACUGCUCGCACCUUGACGG